AUUGAACGCUGGCGGCAUGCUUUACACAUGCAAGUCGAACGGUAACAGGCCUUCGGGUGCUGACGAGUGGCGAACGGGUGAGUAAUGCAUCGGAACGUACCCAGAGGUGGGGGUUAACGCAGCGAAAGCUGUGCUAAUACCGCAUGUGAUCUGAGGAUGACAGCGGGGGACCGCGCAGCAAUGUUUGGCCUCGCGCCUUUGGAGCGGCCGAUGUCGGAUUAGCUAGUUGGUGGGGUAAAGGCCCACCAAGGCGACGAUCCGUAGCUGGUCUGAGAGGACGACCAGCCACACUGGAACUGAGACACGGCCCAGACUCCUACGGGAGGCAGCAGUGGGGAAUGGUGGACAAUGGGCGCAAGCCUGAUCCAGCAAUGCCGCGUGCGGGAAGAAGGCCUUCGGGUUGUAAAGCGCUUUUGGCAGGAACGAAACGGUGUCCGCUAAUACCGGGCGCUAAUGACGGUACCUGCAGAAUAAGCACCGGCUAACUACGUG
rnacentral:rRNA from 1 species